UUAUAGAUGUGCUAUUUUUUUGUUGUUGCUUUCUAUUUUUUGAUAUGUAGAGUUGCAACAUGCAGUAUGUCUCAAGUGUGAAUUGCAUUAUCUUGACUGCAGUUCUUCAUGAAACUGGAGUAAUGACUGAUGGAUGCAAGCAGUGUUUGGCUAGAGUAUGGAAUGUAAUUGUAUUACAUCUAGGAGUAGAUGAAGAAGUAAUUAAGAUGAAUAUAAGAUGCUAGAAUUUCAGAUUAAAGAGAAUUUGGGCAUCUAGAUAGUGAUAACAUAAAGUCGUGGAUGGGGUGGUGUUUCUUGGGGUUAAUAGAUCCUAGUUCAGAUGUUAUCAAGCAAGCAAAAAGAUUUAAAAAAAAAAA
rnacentral:misc_RNA from 1 species